GAGCUUCUCUUUAAUUGUCAUCUUAGGAUAAAUUCCAGUGGGUCAAUACAUAAGCAGUUUAAAGAUAUUUACACAUAUUGUCAUUUUUGUUUUUCUUCUAGAAGACUAUAUCUGCUAAUACACCCAUCCUUGUUGAAUAUUUACAGUUUUACCCAACUCAUGAGUGCCAUGGUCAAUGCCACCAAGUUCAUGGAUCUGGCAGUGAUGGGAAAAUGAAGAUGCAUUUCUUGGAGUCCAGCUAAUGGAUUUCCUGCACUGUGUGGAAAGGUGGAAAUAUCCAUUCUAGGGGUGAAUGAAUAUUCAGUGGGGUCUUCAAGUGGUGAAGACAAAGCCUAAACAAGAUAAAAUAAGGAGAAGAAUUGGAAGAUUCCAGUACAAAUUUGAAAAACUUAAUCAGACUUUUGAAGAGAAUUAGUUGGUUAUUAAAUUCAAGGAUCUUCUUCUACCUGAAACAUUCCCCUCUCAAACCCUCCCAAUCAAUUACUUGGGCCUAUUUUAGUUUCCUAAAUCCCAGUUUUCUAAAACCCUG
rnacentral:lncRNA from 1 species